ACUGUUACACAAUUAAUCGGAUAUAUAGAGGCCAAAAUACGGGCGGCGUUAGUGACAGCCGUGUGACACAGUACCAUGGCAUACGGCCAUUAGUUUCUUAGGAAUAAAUCCAAAUACAUUAUACACGAUUAACUUCCUUGGCUGACAUGUUCUCUUGCUUGAAAAGGACAUUCAUUUUUCACAGAUGUUUAAUCACUUUCAAACAAGAAGAGCCGAACCUGCUACCUAACGUUACGACGGCGGAAGUUCACCCCACCGGUUCAGCAGCAACCAUUUUGGCGGUGACAUCGUAUCAGAUUAAGAAGUAAAGUUAAAACAAAAACUAUGCACGUUGCAAGCUGCUGAAGACAAUGUGGACGUGAGACGUUGCUAAUCGACAACGUGGCGCCAUAAUGGACACACAAUCGACACUCGUGACUUGUUGACAAUGGGCUUCAAAACAAAUCCAUGGCACGUGAUUUGUCGUCAACGAUGCUUGCUAGCAGCCCACAUUAACAGUAAGGAUGUUGUUAAGGACAAUUUCUCAAGCGGGGCUGCCUCUCGUGACGACAAGAUGCCGAGCACAUGUGUGACAUAAUGAGAAGAUGCGUGGAAGAUGGCAACAUUCUACAGAUGGCCAGUGUUAUAAAUACACUCAUGCUUCAAGUAACACGGAGCCUCCGUAUCUGCAUGCAAAAAGGAACAUGAAGACUUCAAGUCAUUACUCCAUUCAAGAAUUUCACCUGGAAUUUGACAUUCUGACUUUUUGCUCCACGUAUUAAAACGAGUGUAGCUCAUGAACAAUUCCAACUGAGGUCAUUACAGCAGUAUUUUACCGCCACAUAACAUUUAACAUUUAAUUAGUCCGUCCAACCUUUAAUGCCAUUCGACAACUCUAUUUAUUAUACAUAGACUAGAAUAUGCAACCGAGGGUUUGUUUAUUUUAUUUGUUUAGUCACCCUUUAUGUGUGUGUGCAUGUAUGUAUGUGUGUGUGUGUAUAUAGUGCAUAUACAUCUCAGAAGACUGAGCUUCUAUGUAUUUAUGAAUAAAGCUAGAGUCCUGGCUAUACUAUCUAGUAGUUUGUAGGGAUGUCCGAGAUAUCUGUUUAUAUGGAGUGAUAUGAGAGAGUCAUGGCGUUGUGCUUCCACACAGCAACAAGUCUGGAAUCAUUUCCAAAUUUUCCCUUCGGAUUGUAAAUAUGCAAUUUGGAAUGAUUGUAAA